ACAAAUAAAAAUCCAGGCAUCCAACAUUCAUGAAAAUAAUACCAAAAAAAAGUAGACAUUCAUACAAAACUAGGAAAAAAAAUUGGAGUUCAUUUGGAUCGUUUUUGAAUUUUUAAUGAAUUUUCUAAAAUGAACAAAAUAAUUGGAAUAAGCAUAUGAAAAUGGAGGGAAAAUAAAAUGUUUGAAUUAAUCCAGAAAAAAUCACAACCGUUGGAUAAGGCGCACAAUCAUGAUCAAAG
rnacentral:lncRNA from 1 species